rnacentral:rRNA from 1 species
UUUCGCUCUUAGAAGUUUGUAUCUCGUGUGUGGUAGUAGUCAGGAUUAAAAGCCUAACUAGCUAAACGCACGCAGUCGUAACCGAAAGGUUGAUCGACCACAGUGGGCCUGAACAAAGCCCAUGACGAUUGUCACAGCAGUGAGGAAUAUUGGUCAAUAGCCUAACGGCUGAACCAGCAACUUGGAGGAAUGUAUAGCAAUAGCUACUUGUAUCAUUGUAGGUAUGAUGCAAGAUCGACUUGGUCGAAUAAAAUUCUAGGUAGAAUUAUGAUAAUGACAUUGUCUGCCUAUGUGUCUUGACCAAAUUACGUGCCAGCUGUCGCGGUAAUACGUAGAAGACUAGUGUUAUUCAUGUUUAGUCGGUUUAAAGGGUACCUAGACGGUAAAUCAAGCCUACAAAUAAAUGAAGGGACUAUUUUGCUAGAGUUACUUACGAGGGGGUUUUAAAGUACUGCUGGUGUAGAGAUGAAAUUCUGUAAUACCUCUUUUCAAUUGAAAAAUAAUGGCACAGGUAUAGGCGAAGGCAUCCCCUUAUGUGAUAACUGACGUUGAGGGACGAAGGCUUUGUGUAGCGAACAGGAUUAGAUACCCCAGUAGUCAAAGCAGAAAAUGAUNAAUGUCAUAGAUUAGACGUCUAAGUUUAUUCUAUAAAUGAAAGUGUAAGCAUUCCACCUCAAGAGUAAUUUGGCAACAUUGGAACUGAAAUCAUUAGNCCGUUUCUGAAACCAGUAGUGAAGUNUGUUGUUUAAUUUGAUGCCACGCAAAAAACCUUANCACAAUUUGAANAUUUAUNNUUNUUUUUUANUAUUGUUUUAUUUUUAAUUUUCUUAAUGGACUAUNAUAGAACUAUAUUAAAUUAGAUUAUUNAAAAUNAAGGCAAUAAGAUAUAUUUACAAGUGNNGCACGGCUGUCUUCAGUU